rnacentral:misc_RNA from 1 species
UGGGACGUAUGUGACGGAGGCGACCGCUUUCUACAGCGCCAGCAUCGGCGCUAGCGUGAGUUUUGGAGGCGUCACCCUCAACCCCGGGGCCAAGGUCGAGGCCUUUUCCGCCGCAACUAAUAUUCUGUAUGUGCCCGAGCGGAAGGUCUUCGGCGGCAAUCUGGGAUUGUCGGUGACCAUUCCGGUUGGUCACAUUGACAUAGAUGCGACGCUGGGUGGACCAUUGGGGUUGUCACGCUCGGUCGAUGGCUGGGGCUUUGGCGACGUUGUGCCGAAGGUCCAACUCGGAUGGCAGCACGGCGACUUCGCCCAUACCAUCUACCUGCAGGCGGUUGCCCCAACGGGCCGCUGGGACCCUGGGUUCUCGCCGAUCAUCGGUCUGCAUCGU